rnacentral:lncRNA from 10 species
CAUUCAUGUGCAUAUUUUCGUGAGGAUGUAGUUUUCAUUUCACUUGAGUAAAUGCAAAGCAGUGAGAUUGCUGGGUCAUACACUUCUAGACUUCCCAUGUUCCAAGUCCACUUCUGCCGGCAGAAUAGAAACCUCGUCAGUUAUCACAACUCAGUAUCCUUCUAAUUAAAAUAUCUGACCAUGUCCCCAUCAGCCACUUGCCUCAUUUGGGACACCACCAACCAUCCUGCACGGCUGCCCAUGUUUCUGUUUCUCCAGCCCAAGCAUGCAGUUUCAGUAGGUCCUUCAGAGGCUGCCUGAAAGGAGCUCCUGAAUUUCACAGACAAAUCCAGACCCCUGUGUGGAAAGCCUGCGGUGGUGUUCUCCGUCUUCCCACAGGACUCCCUGCAGCCAGGAAUUCUAGGGGAGCACCUGACGCGAGGUAUACGCCCAGAUGGCCUGAAGUAACUGAAGAAUCACAAAAGAAGUGAAAAUGUCCUGCCCCGCCUUAACUGAUGACAUUCCACCACAAAGGAAGUGUCAAUGGCUGGUCCUUGCCUUAACUGAUGACAUUCCACCGCAAAAGAAGUGAAAAUGGCCGGUCCUUGCCUUAACUGAUGACAUUACACCACAAAAGAAGUGAAAAUGGCCGGUCCUUGCCUUAAGUGAUGGCAUUACCUUGUGAAAGUCCUUUUCCUGGCUCAUUCUGGCUCAAAAUCACCCCCACUGAGCACCUUGUGACCCCCACUCCUGCCCGCCAGGGAACAAUCCCCCUUUGACUGUAAUUUUCCUUUACCUACCCAAAUCUUAUAAAAUGGCCCCACCCCUAUCUCCCUUUGCUGACUCUCUUUUUGGACUCAGCCUGCCUGCAUCCAGGUGAUUAAAAGCUUUUAUUGCUCACACA